AGAUGAGGAGCUUGCUCUUCAAAUCGAGUGGCGAACGGGUGAGUAACGCGUGAGGAACCUGCCCUUCAGAGGGGGACAACAGUUGGAAACGACUGCUAAUACCGCAUAAGCCCACGGUACCACAUGGUACAGUGAGAAAAGGAGAAAUCCGCUGAAAGAUGGACUCGCGUCUGAUUAGAUAGUUGGUGGGGUAACGGCCUACCAAGUCGACGAUCAGUAGCCGGCCUGAGAGGUUGAACGGCCACAUUGGGACUGAGACACGGUCCAAACUCC
rnacentral:rRNA from 1 species